rnacentral:rRNA from 1 species
GAUGAACGCUAGCUACAGGCUUAACACAUGCAAGUCGAGGGGAAACGAUAGAGAAAGCUUGCUUUUUCUAGGCGUCGACCGGCGCACGGGUGAGUAACGCGUAUCCAACCUGCCCAUCACUUGGGGAUAACCUUGCGAAAGUAAGACUAAUACCCAAUGACGUCUCUAGAAGACAUCUGAAGGAGAUUAAAGAUUUAUCGGUGAUGGAUGGGGAUGCGUCUGAUUAGCUUGUUGGCGGGGUAACGGCCCACCAAGGCGACGAUCAGUAGGGGUUCUGGGAGGAAGGUCCCCCACAUUGGGACUGAGACACGGUCCAAACUCCUACGGGAGGCAGCAGUGAGGAAUAUUGGUCAAUGGACGAGAGUCUGAACCAGCCAAGUAGCGUGCAGGAUGACGGCCCUAUGGGUUGUAAACUGCUUUUAUAAGGGAAUAAAGUGAGCCACGUGUGGCUUUUUGCAUGUACCUUAUGAAUAAGGACCGGCUAAUUCCGUGCCAGCCGCCGCGGUAA